rnacentral:rRNA from 1 species
AUUGAACGCUGGCGGCAGGCUUAACACAUGCAAGUCGAGCGAGUGGCGGACGGGUGAGUAAUGUCUGGGAAACUGCCCGAUGGAGGGGGAUAACUACUGGAAACGGUAGCUAAUACCGCAUACCAUCGGAUGUGCCCAGAUGGGAUUAGCUAGUAGGGGGGGUAACGGCUCACCUAGGCGCCGAUCCCUAGCUGGUCUGAGAGGAUGACCAGCCAAACUGGAACGGGGACACGGUCCAGACUCCUACGGGAGGCAGCAGUGGGGAAUAUUGGACAAUGGGCGAAAGCCUGAUCCAGCCAUGCCGCGUGUGUGAAGAAGGUCUUCGGAUUGUAAAGCACUUUAAGUUGGGAGGCGUUACCAACAGAAUAAGCACCGGCUAACUUCGUGCCAGCAGCCGCGGUAUAC